rnacentral:rRNA from 1 species
UACGUAGGGUGCGAGCGUUGUCCGGAAUUAUUGGGCGUAAAGAGCUUGUAGGCGGUUUGUCGCGUCUGCUGUGAAAUCUCAAGGCUCAACCUUGAGCUUGCAGUGGGUACGGGCAGACUAGAGGUGUGGUAGGGGAGACUGGAAUUCCUGGUGUAGCGGUGAAAUGCGCAGAUAUCAGGAGGAACACCCGGUGGGCGAAAGG